GAUGAACGCUGGCGGCGUGCCUAAUACAUGCAAGUCGAGCGAACAGACGAGGAGCUUGCUCCUUCGACGUUAGCGGCGGACGGGUGAGUAACACGUAGGUAACCUACCUAUAAGACUGGGAUAACUUCGGGAAACCGGAGCUAAUACCGGAUAAUAUUUCGAACCGCAUGGUUCGAUAGUGAAAGAUGGCUUUGCUAUCACUUAUAGAUGGACCUGCGCCGUAUUAGCUAGUUGGUAAGGUAACGGCCUACCAAGGCAACGAUACGUAGCCGACCUGAGAGGGUGAUCGGCCACACUGGAACUGAGACACGGUCCAGACUCCUACGGGAGGCAGCAGUAGGGAAUCUUCCGCAAUGGGCGAAGGCCUGACGGAGCAACGCCGCGUGAGUGAUGAAGGUCUUCGGAUCGUAAAACUCUGUUAUUAGGGAAGAACAAACGUGUAAGUAACUGUGCACGUCUUGACGGUACCUAAUCAGAAAGCCACGGCUAACUACGUG
rnacentral:rRNA from 1 species